AAACUUUGAUCCUCCAGAGUCAUGGUGAGAUGAUACCUUUCAGGCAAUUCAUUUAUCAGAACAUACUGCAUUUCCAACUAAAUCCAUGAUCAUCUCUAGCUUUCUUCAAUUUCAGAUCUGCAAUUAGUUUGUGUUUUUCUUGUUUGUCUUGAAUGCAGAUGAACAGUCCUCAAGCCCUUUGCAGUUUCAUGGCUUGAAGGAAUGAAUUUACUUAAGUGGCAAACAAUUAUACCAUUGGUUUUAUUCGGAAUCUUAUUGAUAGGAAGCAACUAAUUGAUGCUGUUAGAUGCAUUUUGCAAGUUAAUCGACAAGAUCCCUAGCCUACAAUUUUAAAAAGAUAAUGUGCAUGCAUGAUGCAAGAAACUGCCAGGGAAAAUUGCAGGAAAAAGUUAUAUUAUCAUUUGGUGAAACGGAGAAGGUCGUAGACAGCUCUCGUCUCCAGGAGUCCAGGGUUGAUCAACAAGAUCAGAAGAAAAGGAAGCGACCAAGAAUCACCACUUCUGCCCCCAUCAUUCAUCCACAACAACAGCAUGAACAAAGUAAUAACCAGACAGCUGUAUCCACUGCUAUACACCAUACAUUGCCGAAUUCCACUUCCAAUUUAUCUGGAGUCAAGCGAACUGUGUGAAACUUUUAAACCAUCUGGUGGUUUUUGGUACUCAGCUGUUGCUUAGGUAGUAUUCUUAUGCCCCUGAAUCGUUGGCCUUAUUGGGUGUUCACUAUUAAAAAAGGGUGGUUUGGAAAUUGAGUACAUGAUUUAUUAGUUAUUUUCAAUUCAUCUUUUAUGUCGGCUAU